AGUGAACGCUGGCGGCAUGCCUAACACAUGCAAGUCGAACGGCAGCACAGUAACUGCUUGCUCUUACGGGUGGCGAGUGGCGGACGUGUGACGUCUACACCGGACCCUUCUUUUGCGUGGGGGCUAACGUAGGGAAAUUUAUGCCAACUCCGCAUUCGACCUACGGGUGAAAGCAGGGGGUCUUUGGACCUUUCGGGAUUGAAUGAGCCUAUGUCGGAUUAGCUAGUUGGCGGGGCAAAGGCCCAGCAAGGCGACGAUCGGUAGCUGGUCCGAGAGGGUGAUCAGCCACACUGGGACUGAGACACGGCCCAGACUCCUACGGGAGGAAGCAGUGGGGAAUCUUGGACAAUGGGCGAAAGCCUGAUCCAGCAAUACCGCGUGUGUGAAGAAGGCCUUCGGGUUGUAAAGCCCUUUUGUUCGGAAAGAAAUACAGCGCGUUAAUACGGCGCGGUUAUGACGGUACCCGAAGAAUAAGCACCGGCUAACUACGUG
rnacentral:rRNA from 1 species